rnacentral:tRNA from 1 species
UCCCGCGUAGCUCAGUUGGCAGAGCAUCCGACUGUUAAUCGGACGGUCGUAGGUUCAAGUCCUACCGCGGGAG